rnacentral:lncRNA from 1 species
UGACAGUCCUGAGUCUAGACUUGUCUGAGAGAGACAGCCUGGGCCAGCCCUACCAGGCCUGCCUUGCCCAACCUCCAUACCUCCUCCUGCAGCAAACGCAUCUCCUGAAAAAUAGCCAGAAGCUUCCUGCAGAGCCAAAGACUUGGGGGGAAUUUCACUGUGAGGUUACACUCUUCAGUUUCCUCGGGAGGAAUGCAGCCUGUUCGGAAGGUGUUCAUCCUACCGGUUUCAGCAGAGCACCUGGUAAUGCUGACAUACAUGUGUGUUUAGAAGGAGCCUUUUCUUUCCCAUCAUUCUCUCCACCCCCUCCUGCACUUCGCUUCUGCCCUACAUAUACAUAGACUUAAUCUAACAUCGCAACUGCCACAGGGGAAAGCGAAUGUGCAGAGAGACUGUUCUAGAUAAAGUUGUUCCUUUUAGUUUCAGCAAAGCUGCCCUCAAGCAGAAUUCUGACUGCUGUGCUGAUUCAAGGUCUCUUCCUUCAGUUGCCAACUCAGAUGCAAGAUCUGGACUUUCUUGCUUGGAUGUACAGCCCACAGGGAGCUGAAGGACUCUCAAAUAUGUCUCCCUCAUGGCAGGCAAGCUGGCACUGUGGAGGCCACAAUUUUUUCCCUUCAAAUUGCUACGGCAUCUGAAAUUCUCGUUAAUCUUCCAGCGCUUUGAAAAGGAAUAUAGAGGUGCUGUGGGCACCCAUCCCAUGGCUCUAGGGGCCAAGGACAUCUUCCCAGAGCAGCUGACUUUGAACAGAGUUUUGGAGGAAUGGUAAUUUACCAUGCAGAUGAGAAAGAAGACUAUUCUCGGGAGGCAACAUGC